rnacentral:lncRNA from 1 species
AAGAGAAUCAAGCAAUUUUAGCAGUUUUAACAACAGAACAACUUUUCUUACAUUCCUGACUACCUGUAAUCACCACCAUAGUCACUACCAAACCUCAACUUCACCAUCUGAGGAUUCCUCUGCCGGAAUCCUAACCGCUCCAGACUGACUCAUGAAGGAACCCUAAAGCCGCCACUGUUGAGGCUUCGAUUUUUCCACCACCUACCACUGCUAUCGCCCCAAACAACAACAUCACUGACCUUUCGUCAUAUCAUGGUAGAAACCCUUGACCCGAUGGACUUUGAUGCUCCGAUUAAACCCUCACCGCGUUGCAGCGGAGUCGAUAAUACAGGCCGAGAACAUAAUUUAAGCCUAAAACGUUAAAAAUCAUAUAUACAUGUGUGUUUAUAUAAUACUUGGAAUGCCCGCACGUUGCGGCGAGAAACAUAUCACUUAGGUUGGUGAGUUUAGGGCUAUGUACAGGGAUGUAGUUUCUGAUGUGGCGUGCGGCGACGAUGGUGGCAGUGCCGUGCCGUGAGAAUAUUAAUCACCAGAAUGGUUUUAGAUUUGCAGCUAUGUACAGCCAAUUUUUGUUGAAGGUAAUAAUAUAACAUAUAAUUUUCCAUGCUGAAGUAAGAUGGGUUGCACAAGAGAAAAAAAACAUAAGAAUGAUAUCAUAUUGGCAUCUUUAUUGCCCCAAGUUAUACAACCACCGUACGACCACUUCAUGCAUCCAAUCCGCCUGUAACACCAAUUCC